GUUGGCUAGGUCAGUUGGUAGAGCGUGGGCCUCUUCAUCUCAGGAUCAUGGGUUUGAGCCCCAUGCUGGGCA